rnacentral:rRNA from 1 species
CGCAAGCCUGACGGAGCAACGCCGCGUGAGGGAUGAAGGCCUCUGGGCUGUAAACCUCUUUUAUCAAGGAAGAAGAUCUGACAGUACUUGAUGAAUAAGCCACGGCUAAUUCCGUGCCAGCAGCCGCGGUAAUACGGGAGUGGCAAGCGUUAUCCGGAAUUAUUGGGCGUAAAGCGUCCGCAGGCGGCUCUUCAAGUCUGCUGUUAAAAAGUGGAUCUUAACUCCAUCAUGGCAGUGGAAACUGUUGGGCUUGAGUGUGGUAGGGGCAGAGGGAAUUUCCGGUGUAGCGGUGAAAUGCGUAGAUAUCGGGAAGAACACCAGUGGCGAAGGCGCUUUGCUGGGCCAUUACUGACGCUCAUGGACGAAAGCCAGGGGAGCG